ACUGCUUUUAUAGGCAAGACAGGUGUGGUGUCAGUAGGUGGAUCAAUAGGUGGCAAGAGAGGAGAGAAGCUAUGAUGACCCUCAGCGUUCUGACCUAUAAACACCUAAAUGAUUAACACUCAAAUAAA